rnacentral:lncRNA from 10 species
CCCGGUUUCCGCUCGCGCCUCUCCCUCCACACCUGCCCACAAGCUGAGGGAGCCGGCUCCGGCCUUGGCCAGCCCGGAAAGGGGCUCCCACAGUGCAGCGGCAGGCUGAAGGGUUCCUCAAGUGCCGCCAAAGUGGGAGCCCAGGCAGAGGAGGCGCCAAGAGCGAGCGAGGGCUGUGAGGACUGCCAGCACGCUGUCACCUCUCAGUACCACCAAUAUCAUGAUUAUUGAAUGAGGUUGCCUUGAUAAUUCUGCUGAUCUUGCCUGGCUUUACUAAUGUGCCUGAGGUUGUCUAGAAGAUGAAAUGGAAUGGGUGGAUUUGGUGGAAUAGGUGGAUUCGGUGGAAUGGAUGGAUUCAGUGGAAUGGGAACAGGGUCAUAUAAAGAAGUCACAAGUUUGCACACCACAUUCUGGCCUCAAGAG